rnacentral:lncRNA from 1 species
CAUCGAUGUAAUUCAUGUCGAUGUAUAACAAUUCCGAUGCAACCGCGAAAUUCAUAUGCAAUAUAGCAUCUUUUCGAUGUUAUAUUACAUCGCCUUGAUAUUACACAGAAUCAACAUUACCAUUUUUCAUCACAUUGAAAUUGUGUAAUAUUCACAUUACAACUAAUCCAAUAUUACUUCGAAACAGCUGCAACCAAGUCGUUCCAAUCUACUUGAGUGAUAUUACACAAUUUCGAUGUCAUUUUGCAUUCAACACUGAUGCAAUGAUACAUCUCGCAACACUGCCCAUAGUUUGUUUUGGUCGGUGGAUAAAGAUGGCCGGCGUGGCAGAAGUUCGCGAUCGCGAUUUAUUCUUACGCGAUUUUUCGUUGCUAAAACUCCGGGAAAACUCUUAAAGUAUAGUGAAAAGAAAUGCUUUUACAUCCGACGAGUUCAAUAGCUGUGCAAUUGAUGUGGCAAAACAAUAAUGUUUCGAAUUCAAGUGGAACAAACCCCCCAAGAAAAUUUGCAAUUUCUGGCCGUAACAGGAGAGUCCUACCGAGGUGAUAAGUAUGCGAUGGUACGAGAGCCGUUAUCGUGAUGAUGAUCCUUGCAAUCCGGAAAGAGGAUCGCUGAGGCAAUCACCAUUAACAGUUCGUUCCCGGUGGUCCCAUUGACCCCUAUUGAUGUUGCGAAGAGGAUCCAGGUUUUUUUCCGCCAGAUUUGCCCAGCCUCCGCUUGGAAUGGAGUGUCGUUUCUUCGGUGCCGUGAGCAUACUUCGAAUGGUACAGGAGAUAGCCAAUUCAUCCUGCUGCCGGGUGGAAAAAUCCUCAACUCCUGCAUUCACCAACUUACACGACAUGUAACCGAUGUACCAGAUCAGCCGCAAGGUACAUUGCAACGGUGUGGAGCUUCAAAAGCGGGAACGCUCUACUGGCGACUACGGUGAAACGGAUCGGCACGAAAAAGUUGAACGAGCUCUGCGAUUUAUUUCACUGUUGGCUGAAGGAAACUAAUCUCUACCUGAAGAGCCUGCAGGCUUGAAUUUAAUCUCUGUCCACUGCGGGUUCUCGGACUAUCACCUGAAGCGCUCCAGUCGUUAUACUGCAUUAUUUAAACGUUUUUAAUUCAAUAAAAAUAGAAUAAAUAAUGUAAACUUAUUUUUUUGUUUGAAACAUA